AAACAUGUUUAAUAGAAUAUAUUUUUAAUCUAACCUGCUCCAUGCUGUAAAUAGCUGCAGUAUUUUGACUGUACAAAGGUAGCAUAAUCAUUAGUUUUUUAAUUGAAAGCUGGAAUGAAUGGUUGAACAAAAAAUUUUUAUUUUUAUUUAAUUUGAUUUUUAUGUAAAAAAGCGUAAAUAAGUUAAAGGGACGAGAAGACCCUAUAGAGUUUUAAAAAAAGACAUUUUUAUUGGGGUGAUAAAAUAAACAUUUUUUUCAGAUAAAUGGUUGAUGAUCUUAAGGAUAAAAAGAUAAAAUUACCUUAGGGAUAACAGCAUAAUUUUUUAUGAAAGAUCUUAUUAAUUAAAGAGAUUAUGACCUCGAUGUUGAAUUAAUAAAAGAAGGGUGUAGACGUUUUCUU
rnacentral:rRNA from 1 species